GCAGGCUCUGCUGUCCACACACUGGGCUCUGGGCCCUCCUCUCCUCUGGCCCCACCUGGUUGAAUUUCCCCUGACCAGAACCAGGAUAGGAUGUGUUGGUGAAACACCUCUCUAUGGUUGCAGGGGUAGGUGAGCUUCCCCCCACCCCACCAAAAGCCUCAGGAAGCUGAAGGAAGAAUUCAUUUGGUCAACACACAUUUAACCAGCAUCCAAGGUCUGCGCACUGCACUGGACUGGAGAAUAUGUGUCUGAGGCCUGACAUGCUGCUCUGACCUCCAUGCCUGGGGCAGUUCUUGGCACACAGGAAGAAUUUAAACAUUCUUUGAGUGAAAGAGUGAGGCUCACACGGGAAGACUGGCAAGAUAAACCUAAAAUUCUACUUGGAGAACAGAAGUCUUGAAGGUAUGCUGCACAUGGAGCCUGCCACUGCGGAGUGGAGGUGGAGGAGCCCAGCCCGAGGACACUGCCUGUAAAGCAAGUCCUGCUUGUAAAACAGCAUCGUGAUCACCGCAGCCCAAGUCCCCAUGGUUCACAGGCCCAGGAACCUACCUCCACAAGGAGUUAGGACCAGGAUCGGCAGACUUUUCCUAUAAAGGACCAGAUGGCAAAUGUUCUAGGCUUUGUGGGCCAUCUGGUCUCUGUUACACCCAAACUCAGCCAUUUGUAAGUGCAAGAACAGUCACGGCUAACACAUAAACCAAAGAGCAGGGCUAUGUGGAUGCUAUUCGUGGACACUGAAAUUGGGAUUUUAGGCCAUUUUCGCAUAAAAAUAUUCUUAUGAUUUCUCAAUCAUUGAAAAACAUAAAAAAUCAUUCUUAGCUCAUGGGGCAUAAGAAAUAGGCAGUGAGCCAAAUGCACGCCAUCGGUUGCUGACCCCUGGCUAGGGCACUACCUCCCCAUCUGUAAUGAAUCACCUGGGUUGGAGGCUAUUUCUUAUAAAAAUGCAGAUUCUGACCCAGGAGGUUGGAAACAGGACCUGAAACUGCGCAUUAUUAAGAAGCUCCCAGGGGAUGCUCACAUAUGAGGAGCUCAGCACCAUAUUUGAAUAGUCAGAGGUUAGGAAACCACUUUCAGAAGCACAAGGUAUUUUUUUCUUAAAGCACAAGGUAUUGAGCAAGUUUCCCUGGAAGUGUGAAGCCUCCAGAGCCUGUCUGGCUACCAGUGGUGCCUAAAAGGGCAGAAGGUUGCUGGUGGGUGUUUGCAUGCUCAGACCCCAAGUCAUGCUAACCUGGCAACAUGGGCCACCACAUCCCCUAGGUCUGAAGCAGGAAACUUGUAGGGAAGGAUUUAUGUCCUUUUUCACCAGUGUUUACACAUUCAUGGCCAUUUAUAAACAUUGGUUCUUAGAGACUGAAAUAGUUUCUUCAAGUCAGGUCUGCAAGGAGCCAGACCUCUAGAAUUUAGUAGGGUACAAUUUACUUGGGGGAGGUCAGGGGUGGGGAGCCAAAACCCCAGAAAAGUUAAAACCGCUGUUUAUAGUAGCUGAAAGAUCACCUCUCUGAGAAGCUAUGCCAGGAAAAAUGUAUUAAAAAAAAAAAUCCAAGGUACAGGUGGUUACUCCAGGGCAGGGCCUGGCAACACAGGGCCAGGAAAUGCCUCCUGGAAUGGAGGGAGCCAUCCUAAUAACGCCCCAGCAAGAUGCACUGCACUUAAGGGGUCUGGAGAGGUCUUCUUUUUGACAAUGGAAGGCCAGGUCUAUGCUCCCAGGACCAGCCCUCAGCCCUCCCAUUUCCUCUCCCCCAACACAAAAAGCAGAGGCCUCUCUGGCUUGCCCUUUGUCUAGCAGGUUCCAAGGAAAAUGGGAAAGAACUCCGCCAACUGACCCAGGUACACUGCCCACCAGUUUCAUUAAUGAAAGGAGCUUAGGCCAUCUCUCUAAUUGAAACAAAGCUAUUUUUCCUUGUAUAAAGCCUGUACCUUCUUCCUUGGGACUUGGGAUUCAGACUUUCUAGCAUUUAUCCCUGACUCCCACCUAGUGGCUUUAUCCAGUACUGCAUAGGAACAAAGAACCUGACAGGCACUUGGGCCCUGCUCAGGGAAGG